rnacentral:lncRNA from 1 species
ACAUACAAGUUAUCACUAAGGAUUUAAUGCCUUAUGUAAAUGCAUGAAUAACCAUUAGUAAAGAAUGUUCAUGGAGACAAUAUUAUGCAUGAUUAAAUAUAGUAAAUAAUAUGCAUUAUAUCCUGUGAAGGCUAUCAUGUGCAUGCUCAUAUAAAUGCAUUCUUGUGAUACAUAUGAUAAAACGUACUACAUCCUACAUAAAAUGAACCAUAUAUAUACUAGCAGUGCAUAUAUUAGUGGGAAAGGAGGAAAUGUUGCCCAGCUUUGUUGAGACCUCUUGAGAUGGGAAGAAGGAUUCUCAGGAUCAGGAUUGAUCCUCUAAGGAUAGAUGCCUACCGGUGUGAGCUGACAGGUCUCAGAGUAUGGGAAAAUCCAGAGGUGGUAACCGAGUGCUACCGGUACCAGUUACAGGCACACAGGUAAAGAGACACUUGUGUGGCAACCCUGAGAAG